AUCCGGCUGACGAGUCCCAAAUAAGACGAAACGUUCGUUCUGGAU
rnacentral:hammerhead_ribozyme from 1 species